rnacentral:ncRNA from 2 species
GAUUUAUAAAGAAGUGUGGAGAGAUUAGGCUCGCUGAAACACUGGCAACCUCCUCAACUCAGAGAAAGGUGCUAAAUCCUACCCAACCUUAGUAGUUGGGAAAUAUAAAUU